rnacentral:sRNA from 2 species
GGGGAGUAGUUGCUUUGUAAAUCCCUGAUUCCGCAAAGAUUGGUGUCAACAUAUUUGAUCCUCAAUGAUCAUGGCACCAAUAGCCUUUCUCAAGGCCUGACGAGACCUGAACACAAGACACCAGCCGGGGCUGGCGGUGCUUUGUGUUCAGUUUUUGAUCUUGUCGGCCAG